UUUUUAUUUUCAUUUCUCUCAGACAUUUUCUCUCUCUUCCUCCUUUCAUUAGAUUAGGGUUUUGCAGCAGAUUUGGAUGAAGAAGCGAACAACUUCUCGCCGCCGUCGUUGAUCAUUCGCCGCCAGCAACCUCUCACCGCCGUUGUUGAUCUCCUCUGAAAAAAUGGUGGAUCGCGCUUGAAUCGCGGCCGGAGAUGACGGAGAAGACGACGGAAAAGACAUAGAUGGUGGCUUGUUGAGUAGAAGAGGUGACGGCGGUGGUGAUGGAGAGGUAAGUCGAUGUCAAGGCCGGAACAUACAGAAUCAGGGAGCGAAGCGGCGAAAGAAAGAGAGGAAGAAGUCGUCGACUCCUCGCCGCCGCCGUCGUUUCCAUCAACUUCCGAUUGAUGUUGACAGAUCAAGUUGUUCCACGCAAGAAAUUAAAUGUGGUGAUGGUUUCUUCUAAAGUACUCUGCUCCUCCGAUUCGCUCUGCUUAUGCGGUUGUUC